rnacentral:tRNA from 1 species
GCCCCAGUAGCUCAGCGGAUAGAGCAACUGCCUUCUAAGCAGUCGGCCGUAGGUUCGAGUCCUACCUGGGGCG